rnacentral:rRNA from 1 species
UACGUAGGGUGCAAACGUUGUUCGGAAUCACUGGGCAUAAAGAGCGCGUAGGCGGUCUGACAAGUCCCCUGUGAAAGCCCCCGGCUUAACCGGGGAACUGCAUGGGAUACUGUUGGGCUAGAGUGCAGGAGGGGAGAGCGGAAUUCCUGGUGGAGCGGUGAAAUGCGUCAGAUAUCUGGAGGAACACCGGUGGCGAAGGC